UGCGGCUGCGGCUUCGCUUCUUCUUGUCAUCCUUCUUCUCGACAGCUCGCUUCUUGUCCUUUCGAUCUCUCCGAUCGUCUUCAGACUCCUCGCUCGAGGAAUCUGCCUUCGCCUUACGUCCCAUGG
rnacentral:SRP_RNA from 11 species